GGUGGUUUUUUUAAGAGCUGGGGGCACAAGUGGGGGCGAGGUAAACCUCCCAGACGCCGAGUCCCUGCCACAGCCCUAGGCGCCGCGGUGGUGGCUGCUUCGGCAUCGCCAGACCCGCGGGCUCCGGGGCCCCAGCAACCUGGUCGAUGGGCAGACCUGGCAGCUCUCCUGCUCUGUGGGCUCAGACCUGCCUGACCUCCCUACUCUCCGACCUCACCCCACCUUGCCCCCAGGAGGUCCUACAGAGCUUCGGACCUCCUGGAGACAAGGCAGGGUGCUGAGGGGCGGGCAAGAUGCCACCGAGGGAGAGCGGAGGGCUCCUCAAGUGUGCGGAAGGCGGCCACCCUGCACCAGCCUGAUGGAAUCCUCUGUCUACACACCUGCAACCCCUUCCCCUCCGGCCAGCCUUGGGCCAGCCGGAAGCCCCCUCCUGUGGCCUCCGAGCACCCUCCUGACACCUGAGGAGACCCUGCCCACUCCCCCCUCCGCCCUCAGGACCUCUGGGGACCAGCCACUGUCCCCAGAAGCCAGGUCGGACAGUGACCUUCUCCACUCCCCUCUGACUUCUCCAAGGGGGCUCAGUGGCCAGUGCCCACCCGGAGGCUCCACCCUCAACCCAACACAAGCAACAGGGACAGAUAAAAACAAAAUUCAAUCAGGGCGAUAAAUGGCGGAGGGCAGGACGUGAUGGUCUCAAGCUGGCUUCGUGCAUUCUUGCUUUUGUCACUGCCCCCCUGUUACAUAGGGAGGGGGUUUAAUUUGGUUUCUGAGCGCGUAAAGCUAAGGAGGGAUCAAAAAAAAA